rnacentral:rRNA from 1 species
AAAUUGAAGAGUUUGAUCAUGGCUCAGAUUGAACGCUGGCGGCAGGCCUAACACAUGCAAGUCGAACGGUAACAGGAAACAGCUUGCUGUUUCGCUGACGAGUGGCGGACGGGUGAGUAAUGUCUGGGAAACUGCCUGAUGGAGGGGGAUAACUACUGGAAACGGUAGCUAAUACCGCAUAACGUCGCAAGACCAAAGAGGGGGACCUUCGGGCCUCUUGCCAUCGGAUGUGCCCAGAUGGGAUUAGCUAGUAGGUGGGGUAACGGCUCACCUAGGC